GUACGCUGGCGGCACGCCUUAUACAUGCAAGUCGAACGAAGUAGCAAUACUUAGUGGCAGACGGGUGAGUAACAUGUGGGUAUCUUCCCUUUGGUGAGGAAUAACACGAGGAAACUUGUGCUAAUACCUCAUAAGUCUUUACGGAGAAAGCUUUAUGCGCCAAUGGAUGAGCCCGCACUUGAUUAGUUUGUUGGUGGGGUAAUGGCUUACCAAGACUUUGAUCAAUAGCUGAUCUGAGAGGAUGAUCAGCCACAUUGGGACUGAGACACGGCCCAAA
rnacentral:rRNA from 1 species